ensembl:lncRNA
AUGAGACUUUUCUAUGUACUUCUGCUUUUGAGCAUUGUUUGCUUUGAGAACAGUGACUCAGAGAAUGGGACAUGUCAGGAAGGUUAUGGAAACAUUUUCAUUCCUAUCAUCGCAAUUCUCUGUGAAGCAUUACUGCUUUCUUUUGCUGUAAAUGUCUACUUCAUUUGCAUGAGAAGAUAUAGAGACUCGUGCCAGAACUUUUACAAUGCAGUCUGGUGCAGUCGUGGAACAGCAAAUGAGCCUGAGCAAUCAGAUGACCAGCUUCCAGACGACACACAGUACUCUCUGAUUGUUUCCAAAGACAAAAGAGAGCAUGAGGAACAAACAGAAGUGAACCCCCCUGAGUGUAUAUACUCUGCUGUGAAACCCUAGAAAAGAUUCGACCUCAUCAAAAACAUAUGCUUAAAUUGGUGAUAUAUUCUGCUUUUUUCCCCUCUCUCUCUGUUAUUGUUUUUGUAUUUUUGUUUUAAUUUUCAUUUAAUCUGUCUGUAAUUUAUAUUUAAGCAGAUGCUGUGGGAAAAAAAUAAAAUUAAGAUGCUUGUGGACUACUGUCCCA